AAAGAGAGCCCGGGACUAUUCGUUUCCUUUGUUUCCUUGUUUCCUUCUUUUUCCUUUUGCUUCUUUUCCCGCUCCCUCUCUCCUUCUC
rnacentral:ribozyme from 2 species